rnacentral:snRNA from 1 species
UUUCUAAUUUAACUUCUUGUUCUU